rnacentral:rRNA from 1 species
CCGCGAUAUUUUGAUCGUGCUAAGGUAGCAUAAUCAUUAGUUUUUUAAUUGAAAGCUAGAAUGAAGGGUUGGAUGAAAAAAAUUCUGUCUUAAUUAAAAUUUUGUAAAAUUUUAUUUUUAAGUUAAAAAGCUUAAAUAGGAUUAAAAGACGAGAAGACCCUAUAGAGUUUGAUAUUUAUUUUAAUUUUUUAUUUUUAGAAUUAAAUUUAAUUAUAAAAUAAUUAUUUAAUUGGGGUGAUUAAAAAAUUUAGAAAACUUUUUUUAUAUCUAAAUAUAAUUAUAUAAAUUAUUGAUCUUAUUAUUUUGAUUAUAAGAAAAAAUUACCUUAGGGAUAACAGCGUAAUUUUAUUGGAAAGUU